CAGUCGCCGCGGUAAUCCGUAGGGCGCAAGCGUUAUCCGGAAUUAUUGGGCGUAAAGAGCUCGUAGGCGGUUUGUCGCGUCUGCCGUGAAAGUCCGGGGCUCAACCCCGGAUCUGCGGUGGGUACGGGCAGACUAGAGUGAUGUAGGGGAGACUGGAAUUCCUGGUGUAGCGGUGAAAUGCGCAGAUAUCAGGAGGAACACCGAUGGCGAAGGCAGGUCUCUGGGCAUUAACUGACGCUGAGGAGCGAAAGCAUGGGGAGCGAACAGGAUUAGAUACCCCCGUAGUCCCUGUCUCUUAUAC
rnacentral:rRNA from 1 species